CCUACGGGAGACUGCAGUGAGGAAUAUUGGUCAAUGGGCGCGAGCCUGAACCAGCCAAGUAGCGUGAAGGAUGACUGCCCGACGGGUUGUAAACUUCUUUUAUAAAGGAAUAAAGUGAGGCACGUGGGCCGUUUUGUAUGUACGUUAUGAAUAAGGAUCGGCGAACUCCGUGCCAGCAGCCGCGGUAAUACGGAGGAUCCGAGCGUUAUCCGGAUUUAUUGGGGUUAAAGGGAGCGUAGAUGGGUUGUUAAGUCAGUUGUGAAAGUUUGCGGCUCAACCGUAAAAUUGCCAUUGAUACGGGCAGCCUUGCGUACAGUUGAGGUCGGCGGAAUUCGUGGUGUAGCGG
rnacentral:rRNA from 1 species